rnacentral:rRNA from 1 species
CCUACGGGAGGCUGCAGUGGGGAAUAUUGGACAAUGGGGGCAACCCUGAUCCAGCCAUGCCGCGUGUGUGAAGAAGGCCCUCGGGUUGUAAAGCACUUUCAGUGAGGAAGAACGCCUGGUGGUUAAUACCCAUCAGGAAAGACAUCACUCACAGAAGAAGCACCGGCUAACUCCGUGCCAGCAGCCGCGGUAAUACGGAGGGUGCGAGCGUUAAUCGGAAUUACUGGGCGUAAAGCGCGCGUAGGUGGCUUGAUAAGCCGGUUGUGAAAGCCCCGGGCUCAACCUGGGAACGGCAUCCGGAACUGUCAAGCUAGAGUGCAGGAGAGGAAGGUAGAAUUCCCGGUGUAGCGGUGAAAUGCGUAGAGAUGGGGAGGAAUACCAGUGGCGAAGGCGGCCUUCUGGACUGACACUGACGCUGAGGUGCGAAAGCGUGGGUAGCAAACAGGAUUAGAUACCCUUGUAGUC